rnacentral:rRNA from 1 species
UGCAGGGUCCCUAGAUUCGAAGGACUGGCACCAAAUUGAAAGCAGUCGACGGGCUGCAUCAAAAGGGACUGGCUACUACCGGGGGUCCAUGAAGGGUACCGUAAUCAAUAAGCCCCGGCUAACUACGUGCCAGCAGCCGCGGUAAUACGUAGGGUGCAAGCGUUAAUCGGAAUUACUGGGCGUAAAGCGUGCGCAGGCGGUUAUGUAAGACAGAUGUGAAAUCCCCGGGCUCAACCUGGGAACUGCAUUUGUGACUGUAUAGCUAGAGUACGGCAGAGGGGGAUGGAAUUCCGCGUGUAGCAGUGAAAUGCGUAGAUAUGCGGAGGAACACCGAUGGCGAAGGCAAUCCCCUGGGCCUGUACUGACGCUCAUGCACGAAAGCGUGGGGAGCAAACAGGAUUAGAUACCCUGGUAGUCCACGCCCUAAACGAUGUCAACUGGUUGUUGGGUCUUCACUGACUCAGUAACGAAUCUAACGCGUGAAGUUGACCGCCUGGGGAGUACGGCCGCAACGUUGAAACUCAAA